UUACUUUACGUGAUCACUACCAGCCGGUAACACACAUGUAAUGAUUACCAGAAAGUUAGCGAUCAACACUAACAAAAUGCUGGAAA